GAGGUAAAGAAAAAAAACAAAAAAAACACGCACCUAUCCUAUCCUCUCGAUCUCUCCCGACACAGACGGCCAAAGGCGACGACGCCCUACGGGCGGCGAGCCGACCUCCGCGCCAACGUGUGGGCAGGACGGCCGCGACCUGCCUCCCGCAGUCCCGCUGGCCUCCUCUCUCUCUUCCCCUUGCUCUCUCCCUCUCCAUCACGGCGCGGAUAGGGUGACGAUGGCUGCCACAGGUGGGUGCGACGGCUGCGAGCGCCCUCCUCCUUUCCCCCUCGCGACUGGGCCCCGCCAGCGUCGCUUGCCCCAGGUGCUGCCUCCGCCCUCUGCUCCGUGUGCGUUCAUGUGCUGCAGGUGCUACAGGAAACCCUAGCAGCCUGUGCUAGGGGUCGCGAUGGCCCAGCUUCGAGCCUUCGACCCAACCCUCGGCGGUGGUGCCUUACUCCAGUGUGGACAUGCUCGCCGGCGACAGCAGCGGCGGCUACCAGGUUGUUGUCCCUCUGCCAACUACGUGGGCGAUGAGUUUUUGCAGGACUCUCAUGCUCUCUUGACUAGAGAGGAUGAUACUUGGGAAGAUUGCGUUCUCAUUCAUAAAAUUCGUAAGCUUGGUAGCAGCACAAUCAAAUUAAGGCGCCGAUUUUCGCCGACUGAAUCUCCAGAUUAUUGUACUGUUUUCGUCUUGAACAUAUGGAUGGGGAUCUUGUGCAGAGAUCUAAAGCCAUAGGUUUUUGCUACAUAAAUUCUACCAUGUUCUUCUUCAUGUAUGCCAACCUGAAUAAAUCACCUGCAUAUGGAAUGAGUACAGAAUUGACGAUGCCUACCUAUAACAAGGUAUUUAAAUUGCUGUUUUUCCUUUGGACCCUUACUCCCUUUAGUUUUGGCCAACUGGAGGACUAUUGUUGCCUACCUGAUGUAUGUUGUCUCUUCAUCAUGCAUAUCCUACUACGAAUCAAAGUCAGGAUAUGGACAAAGCCAGUACCUGUUGUCUUGCGACGCAUUACUAUGCUAUAUAUUCCCUCCCUGUGACUGCUAUUUCAGAUUCAUAUAUAAUCAGCAUGUCUUCUCAGUUCAUCUGGAGACUGGUCAUUUCUUUAUAGUGGUAAGAGCAACAUAAAUGAAGCUAUCGCUGAACAACCUGAUGUAGACAACAAGAGGCAAUUUCUAGAUUCAUUAAAAAAGGGUAAUUUGUUCACGCGAGCCUGUUUGUUUAUGCUUGCAUAAUUCAUAAAUAUAAAUAGAGAUGGAAACCACAUGAAUUUCUAUCAGAGAUUUUGAGAGGACUAAAACAAAUAAUUACGAGGCAAUGUGUUUGUCAUAUUAUUUUAACUCAAAUCAACCUCCAUUUUUAAUAUAUCUCUCUUGCUUAGUACACCUUGUUUGUGAUUUGGUUUCCUGUUUCAUAUGAUGGCUGCAGCCCACUGGCGAUCCUCUCACAUGGUCUACCGUGAACGGUAGUACUGGUCAUGCCAAAACUUCUUUCUUCCUGCACUGUAACAGAACACUCCAUCUGUUCCUUGCAAGUAGGGCUGAUGGAGUUGGCCUAGGAUUGUCUCCAUUUGCAGCAUCCAUUGUUGCUUGCAACCUAAUAUAGUUUUCAGGAUUAUGUAAUGUCAGUGUCUCCAUAACUAUAUUUUUUAGUGCUUAAAAUUACCAAAGCUAGAUAUCAUUAUUUCUCCAAUGCUAACAUAAGAAUAGUUCCAAUGUUUGGUAGAAACUCAAAAGAAGCUAUGUGAAAGUGGGAAGGAUCCAGCUGUUGUCACAAAAAUUUCUGUCUCAGAGGGUCUCUAAAAGUGGAAGCGCUGGCCAAACUGGCAAAAAAAAAAGUUCAAAGCAACCUGGGGAUGCAUUCCAGGUUUCUUCUCUUCCACAAGCCUGGAAACAAGAAGGUGUUAGCCCAUCAUUUAAGGACCAAGAAACAAAAAAAGUUUUAUGGCCAAAUAAGCAAGUUUGAGGGGAAAAAGGACCAAGAAACUAAACGGCACUUUUAGGACUAUGGAAAUAAUUCCCUCUAAUAAAAAUGCUAAUAGGCUAUAAGCAUUGGACAAUAUUUAAUUUAUUAUAUAUCUAUAUGUCUAUUUAUAUCUAUGAUAUUAACUGUAUCCAUAUUAAUGUUAAAACAUAAAUGGUUUUUUUGUCUA